GUAACUAGCCUUUCAGGAGAUUUAAGGGUUUGCCAUUUAGAUAACCCUUUCCCUAGGUUGUCUCUUGGUGGAUGUUUGCAGUUAAAAUGACCCCAGAUCCAGCAUGGUGGUCGUGUUCCCAGCCCUUGUGACAUCAGCAAUUUCAGAAGUCAAGCCUGAAGGCUACACAAACCCCAUCAGAGAGAGGAUGAGCCUCUGAGGUGAGUGAGACGCUUCAGUGUAACAAGCACAAGGGGAACGACACACUGGAAAGCAGCAGCAUCAGCAAAGAGACAAGGUGACAGAUGUGAACUGGAGGAAGGCUGAUCCCUCAGGCUCACUCAGCACGCUGGGAUUAUCCCUGCAGGUCCACUGCUGUCUCUGAGAAACGCUGAGAGUAGAGCUGUCAACUAGGAAGAGGAGUGGGGGGAAAAAUCCCUGUUGGAAUCAAUGCUGAAUUGCAGAGGUGCAAACUGGGAUGGAAAACCUAUGGCUCCGGGGAGCCAUCACUGAGAACUGAGAGGUGGAAUGCCUUGGGGCAGGAAAGGAAUGUUCCAGAGGCCAGAGCAAAGCCUACAAGAAUGACAACCUGAGGACAACCAUGAGAGCCAGGAACAGGCCAUCAAACACAGCUUUAGAGGUCAUAUUCCUUUUGGCACCAGAAAGAACAAUGGCCAUAAGUGAUUUGCUUUGCAUUUAUGGCUUUUACCUUGCAUGCAACUCGUAUCACUUACAAACUCCCACAGAGAGUCUCUGCCCCCCUGAGAUGUUGUUACAAACCACGCACAAGCAGAAGUCUGAACAAAGAGGGCAGCUGCCUGAAAGCCACAGGAACACCUGAAGUCAGAGGAACUGCUACUUACCAGAACAGGUUCUACUACCUGGGUGUCUGGUCUAUCAUUUGGUAGGUCUGGGCACCAAUAUCCUUCCUGAACACAGGAGGUGCUGCAAAGGCAAAAGUGGAAGAGCCUAAAAUAAAAUAC
rnacentral:lncRNA from 1 species